AGAUUGAACGCUGGCGGCAGGCCUAACACAUGCAAGUCGAGCGGUAGAGAGGUGCUUGCACCUCUUGAGAGCGGCGGACGGGUGAGUAAUGCCUAGGAAUCUGCCUAGUGGUGGGGGAUAACGUUCGGAAACGGACGCUAAUACCGCAUACGUCCUACGGGAGAAAGCGGGGGACCUUCGGGCCUCGCGCCAUUAGAUGAGCCUAGGUCGGAUUAGCUAGUUGGUGAGGUAAUGGCUCACCAAGGCGACGAUCCGUAACUGGUCUGAGAGGAUGAUCAGUCACACUGGAACUGAGACACGGUCCAGACUCCUACGGGAGGCAGCAGUGGGGAAUAUUGGACAAUGGGCGAAAGCCUGAUCCAGCCAUGCCGCGUGUGUGAAGAAGGUCUUCGGAUUGUAAAGCACUUUAAGUUGGAGAAGGUCGUAAUUAAUACGUUGCAAUUUGACGUUACCGACAGAAUAAGCACCGGCUAAACUUCGUGCCAGCAAGCCG
rnacentral:rRNA from 1 species